rnacentral:SRP_RNA from 1 species
GCCCGGCAUGGUGGCACGUGCCUGCAGUCCCAGCUACUCGGGAGGCUGAGGUGGGAGGAUUGCUUGAGCCCAGGAGUUCUGGGCUGUAGUGCACUAUGCCUAGCAGGUGUCCGCACUAAGUUCGGCAUCAAUAUGGUGACCUCCCGGGAGCGGGGGACCACCAGGUUGCCUAAGAAGGGGUGAACCGGCCCAGGUCAGAAACAGAGCAGGUCAAAACUCCCCGUGCUGAUCAGUAGUGGGAUCGUGCCUGUGAAUAGCCACUGCACUCCAGCCUGGGCAACAUAGUGAGACCCUGUCUCU